AGGGGCUGUUUCUCCUGUCUCUGAGACCCAGCACAACGUGAGGCAUACAGCAGGUGUAUUAGCAGGAUCUAGAAUACGGCAAACAGGCCUUAAACAGGGUGAUGAGGCCCAUUCCAGCCAGGUGCCUCCUCUAAACCUACAGUCAACUUGAAAAGCCCGAAGUGCUUUCCCAGAGCACUGCCUGAAGUUUGCCGUUCACAGCCAGGGAGACUUGUGAAGAGGACUGAUCCCACAGCUCCAUCUCUAAAGAGCAGGGUUUCUUGAUGAUCCCAGGAUGGGUACACAGCCAUGGGGCUCAGGGACUACCCCUGCCUCUGCCCUAUCCAUGCUCCAACGGGACAGACACAUGCCACUGCAACCAGAGAUCCUCAGCAAUCCCACUCCGUAAGGACACCUGAAAACCUCACCACCAGUCCCACCCUAGGAGAUGGAUAUUCCCCCUCUAACCUCCAGGGUGGAGAAGCAGGGUUCAAACAGGGGGCCUCAGAGCGGUGCUUCCAAGAGAAAGCGCCUUGGAAGCCAGGCUAAGGAAUGGAACUUUCUGCUCUGGGCAAUGGCGGAGCGGGGGGACAUCUACUGCCCCACCUCACCCUGUGCCGGGCAUAGGGACCUUUCAUGCUCACUCAACAAAUCCCAAUACCACCAGAGUACCCCAAAUUCCAGGAGCAAGUGGACUUGACGAGUCCCCACAUUCCCAGAGGCCUCUCAUCCCACCCUGAGAGAGAAGCAUCUCAGAGUAGGCAACAGUGUUGAUGCUUUUCCUUCAAGAAGCAAUGGUCCAGGGGCAUUCCCUGCAAGAUACUAUCUUCUGGCCUCAUUUCAAGAACCCCAGCUAUCCUCACUCACAAACUAGCCUGAGACCCCCGCUCCAACCCUCUCUUUAAAAUUAGUUCUAGGCACAGGAAGCUCCUGGAAAACUGAAUAAAAACAAAUGCUCAGAGGGAAAUGUGGGACUCCUGCCAGGUCGGCCAACCCCUCCUGACUGAUUUACAAGGCUGCAAAAUGGUACUUUGUUCUGCAAAUCCCCUCCCCUCCUUGCCCCGCCCUAAUACUCAGGCCUUGGCGUGCAGCAGCUUGGGGGCCACAUGCAGAACCGCAUGUGCAGACGACUU
ensembl:lncRNA novel transcript